AUUGAACGCUGGCGGCAUGCCUUACACAUGCAAGUCGAACGGCAGCGGACCUUCGGGUGCCGGCGAGUGGCGAACGGGUGAGUAAUGCAUCGGAACGUACCUUUCAGUGGGGGAUAACGUAGCGAAAGUUACGCUAAUACCGCAUAUUCUGUGAGCAGGAAAGCAGGGGAUCGCAAGACCUUGCGCUGAUUGAGCGGCCGAUGUCAGAUUAGCUAGUUGGUGAGGUAAAGGCUCACCAAGGCGACGAUCUGUAGCGGGUCUGAGAGGAUGAUCCGCCACACUGGAACUGAGACACGGUCCAGACUCCUACGGGAGGCAGCAGUGGGGAAUUUUGGACAAGGGGGGCAACCCUGAUCCAGCCAUGCCGCGUGAGUGAAGAAGGCCUUCGGGUUGUAAAGCUCUUUCGGCCGGGAAGAAAUCGCACGGGCUAAUACCCUGUGUGGAUGACGGUACCGGAAUAAGAAGCACCGGCUAACUACGUGCCAGCCGCCGCAGUAA
rnacentral:rRNA from 1 species